AAUGUAGCUCAGUGGUAGAGCACUUGGCUAGGGUGCAUGAGGCCCUGGGUUUAAUUCUCAGUAUU
rnacentral:tRNA from 1 species